rnacentral:rRNA from 1 species
CCCGCCCACGGGACCAGUGGUCCCAUCGCCGGUCUCCCCCCACCCAGAUCUGCUGGAGGCGCACCGAAUCCUGCCUCACUGCCGGUUCCGCGACUCGGCCGCCGCCCCAACCGCUGCAGCAGCCGAGCACCUCCACUAGGUGCCCCGACGGUUCAGACCCUCACCUGGCCCCUCCCUCGAACCCAGCGAGCCUCCGCCCCGGCCUACUUCCCGCGCGAGGUCGCCUCCGCCUCCUCCUGGCGCAUCGCCGCCCCCACCAUUUGGAUCGAUGUCCCACUUGAGUUAGACGUGAACGAUAUGUUGAAGAGCAAGGGGGCACAUGCUAUUUCAGACCCUGAUUCGUUUUCUCAGGCAAUGGCAAAGCUCCGUCAGCGUUAUGAUGAUCUGAAAGAGCGGUAUGCAGUUUCUGAUGUUACUGUUUCAGUACAGAGGGUCAUCGAGGCUGCCCGCAACCCGAUGCCCUCCACGGACACCACCACCAUGAUGGCGGAAGGAAGAGUAAGAGGGGUCGUCGAGGCUGGGUGCCGCCGUGAGGAUGCUGGCGCCCGUGCACGUUGA